rnacentral:lncRNA from 1 species
GUCCCUCUUCACACAAACUAGUUAAACGGCGGGAUGUGCCUCCAACUGACCAGGGUCCGAGCACAUCUCCAACUGGACUGUCAAAGUGCUUAGUGAACCAACCCAUGUUGCACCUUGCUUUUCAAGACACUCCUGCCUUCCAGGGUAAAUCUUGUCUUCCAAUAUGUGUCUUGCCUUCCAAGAGCCCCAAGAAUCGAACCCACGACCUCUGAUCUGCCAGCUUUGAGAGAACCCAUCCUUUAUCAGUGGAAAAGUGCCCCGAGGGGAAAAAUUUCCAAUAUUUUAUUAUGUAAGAAACUUGAUUCUGCAUGUUAUGUAACUUGUAGGUUCUGUUAUGUUGCAACAUCUCUAUUUAUUUUUAUAAAAUAUCUUUAAAAUGUUCUAAUAAAAUAUGUGAUGCUAAUUUAUGCUGCAUUUAUUACAUCACGUCGUUGCACUCCACCUCCUUAGCCACCAAGACGUUAGAAAAUAUCUGUCGACGGUACCACACUCCCAACACAAAAUAGCAUAAACAAACGAUACACAAAUACUUCAAAACAAUUCACUCAAAACUAACUGAUUCUCUAAAAAAUACAACUCAAAAUUGAGUUUAUCCUCGCAGAAGUCUUAAACUUGUCGGAAUUAUCUGCUUUGAACUGGGGUAGCGGAGGAGAAAUAUGAGAAUCGGCCGCACCACUACCUGGCGAUGGAGCAGCGCCCUAAAAACCUGGGCAUUGGUGUAGAAAUCCAGCCAGUUCACACUAUGUAUCACCAUACAUGAGCUUCAACCAGGGGAUAAACCCGUUGAAUAGAACAUUUCUUCUACACUUGAAGAUACAUGAAGCCAAAGCCCUACUGCAAUUCUUCGAUUUUUUUUACCACUUACCUUCAAAAAUUUAUUGAUCUCCGGUGAGUGUUGGCACUGGAGAUGAGAGACACGUGGGGUGGUUUUGGUUUAGAGGGUGGUUAGGUAUGCGGGUGAGUGGGGUGGAGGGAGUGAAGAUGGGC